UGUGUGUGUGUGUGUGUGUGUGUGUGUAUGUGUGUAUGUGUGUGUGUGUGUGGUAUAUGCUGUACAUAUAUACUAAGGCAAAAGGUGUGGCAAGAUAAAUCAGUGAACAAAAAAGAAAAUGAAAUGUGCCGCCGAAGCAAACGAAUCACUUGUCCAAAUAGGAAAAGGACAGGGAAGAAUGAGAGUGACCCAUCAAGAGCGCCACGCGAGGAAGCCGAGCGACCGGGACGCGAGCCGGCUUCCCAGGGGCGGCGGCGCAACAGGCGGACUCACGCUGGAAAUGCCAAUGGUCGCUGAUCCUCUGUUCCCUCGAACCGCGCACUGCCGGGCGCGGUGCUCCCUUUUACCUUCGCCAAGGAGAAUGUUCGAUACUUUUUUUUGUCAUCGGAAUAAGUGUUAGAUUUUGAAUUAGACUGUGAUUUGUAAUGAUAAUAAUAUGGAGGAAAAAAUAAGAGUAA